UGCUUGCCGAUGAUGUUGAAAAAUAAAUGUCUGAACAAUUGAUUCAAAAUGAUAUCAGUGAUUUCUCUGAGGUAAGCA